AUUGAACGCUGGCGGCAGGCCUAACACAUGCAAGUCGAGCGGAGCGGCGGACGGGUGAGUAAUGCCUAGGACUCUGCCUGGUCGUGGGGUAUAACGUCCGGGAACGGACGCUAAUACCGCAUCCUAUCAGCUGAGCCUCGGUCGGAUUAGCUAGUUGGUGGGGUAAAGGCCUACCAAGGCGACGCUCCGGAACUAGUCUGAUAGGAGGAUCAGUCAAACGGGAACUGUGACACGGUCCAGACGGCUACGGGAGGCAGCAGUGGGGAAUAGUGGACAAGGGGCGAAAGCCGGAGCCAGCCAUGCCGAGUGUGUGAAGAAGGUCUUCGGAGGGUAAAGCAAUUUAAGUUGGGAGGCGUUACCAACAGAAUAAGCACCGGCUAACUUCGUGCCAGCAGCCGCGGUAAUAC
rnacentral:rRNA from 1 species